rnacentral:rRNA from 1 species
CCUACGGGAGGCAGCAGUGAGGAAUAUUGGUCAAUGGACGCGAGUCUGAACCAGCCAAGUAGCGUGAAGGAUGACUGCCCUACGGGUUGUAAACUUCUUUUAUAAAGGAAUAAAGUGAGGCACGUGUGCCUUUUUGCAUGUACUUUAUGAAUAAGGAUCGGCUAACUCCGUGCCAGCAGCCGCGGUAAUACGGAGGAUCCGAGCGUUAUCCGGAUUUAUUGGGUUUAAAGGGAGCGUAGAUGGGUUGUUAAGUCAGUUGUGAAAGUUUGCGGCUCAACCGUAAAAUUGCAAUUGAUACUGGCAGUCUUGAGUACAGUUGAGGUAGGCGGAAUUCGUGGUGUAGCGGUGAAAUGCUUAGAUAUCACGAAGAACCCCGAUUGCGAAGGCAGCCUACUAAACUGCCACUGACAUUGAUGCUCGAAAGUGUGGGUAUCAAACAGGAUUAGAUACCCCAGUAGUC